GAAGAUUACGUUUCUCCUCUUCUUAGCAAGAGGCUGUAAGCCUUGACAUUAAUGAGUUGCCAACAAAUAUUUUCUCAUAUUAAUGACACUUCAUUAAUGUCUCAAAGAAAGACAAGACGAUCAAUUCAUCUGCACAUAUGUGCUUUUUCAAUAUAGUCAAUGAAAAUUUCGUUCACUAAUAACGUAUAUGUCUAAAUUCAAUUAAUUGCUGUCUCUAUUUAUCCCCUACAUCCUUCUCUACGGAAAAGGUCAGUUUAAACCAAACAUUGUUGUGCUUUCAAAAUAAAGGGUGAGGCAAGACUUUUUUGUUCAUCUUUAGUUAAUUAAUUUGUUUUUUUUUUGUUUAUUUGGUUAGUUUCAGUGUUUGCCCCCUUAACUCCUUAAUUAAUAUCUGUACUAUAUUUUUGAACGAUCUCCAUGCUUUUACACUUUAAUUUCAUACACAAUAAGUUCUGUUUUAAAAGCAAUUGGAGUGCAAUUUGACAUACAGAUGCAAUAACAAAAUUGUUAUGUCGAUUAUUAUUAACUGUAAUUAGAGAUUAGAAUUGCUUAAAGGGCAAAAUCAACAAAAUAUGAGUAAUGACAACAUUUGGGUACAAGUAAAGCAAUAUGAGAUGCUAAUUUAUGAACGAAAAUUGAGUUAAUUAGUCCCUACAACAACAACAACAAUAGCAACCUAGUAUAAUCCCACUUAGUGGGGUCUGGGGAGGGUAGUGUGUACGCAGACCUUUCCCCUAACCUGGGGUAGAAAGGCUGUUUCCAAAUAGACCCCCCCGCAUCCUUCCCUCCAAGAACUUCCCACCUUACUCUUGGGGAGACUCAAACUCACAACCUCUCGAUUGGAAGUGGGGGUGCUUACCAUCAGAGCAACCCCUCUUGUCUAAGCUAAUUAGUCCUCGUUCUUUAAAAAAAAUCUUAUAAUUCAAGAAAAAGGAAGCAUCAGUAGUUAUUUUUUAAAUACAUGAGAGGAUUCUCUGAAAUGCUUAAUGCUUUUUAAGGUACGCAGUGAUAUCUAUAUUGAAGUGGUAAUCUAUACACCGAGUUCAGUUUUUUAAUACAAUAUUUGUAGUUCAUUAAUUAUGAAAAUGGUGCUAAUGAAACUUGCAAGUUUACUGCAUAAUUGUUUUUAUCUCUGCAGAAAAUAUAAAUACAAGGAUGGCUUGUAACCGGAUGAGGGCAUUGGAGAAUAUUUGUGUGUUUUUCUGCAUAUUAGCUAUGACAUUAGUAAAUUGUAAAACAUAUCCUCCAUCAAUAGAAUAUGGUUGUUUUUUGUUAUGUAUUGACUAUUUACAAGUGGAGAGAGGCUUAGUUCAUCUUCCUCAGGCGGAGAUAGAAAGCAGAUGUAGAG
rnacentral:lncRNA from 1 species